rnacentral:lncRNA from 1 species
UAGAAUAAUGAUUGAUGAUGAUUCUUUGAUUCUAUUAAAAUACUAAGAAAAAUCAUAUCUAAUCCAGAAGACUAUAUUUUGUUUUGAUUGUAACUUUCAUUUUGAACCCUAUAAAUAUAGGUUCUUGAUUUCCAAUGAAAUACAAACUCAAGUAUUGACACCCCCCCCCUCCCUCCCUCCCUCCCUCUCCCUCUCCCUCUCCCUCCCUCCUUUAGUUUCAUUCAAAACAAUAUUAAUUUUUUUUGAGCCAACAUUUCAAAUGUCCUUGCUUGUUGAUUAACAUGAAUAAUAGACCGUUUAAUUUAAUUUUAUCUUAUUUUUGUCCCUUUUUACUCUCUCUCCCUCUCUCUCCCUCCUUUAGUUUCAUUCAAAACAAUAUUAAUUUUUUUUGAGCCAACAUUUCAAAUGUCCUUGCUUGUUGAUUAACAUGAAUAAUAGACCGUUUAAUUUAAUUUUAUCUUAUUUUUGUCCCUUUUUACUUGAAAAUGAUUAAAGUUUAUAUCACCAUUCUUUGAGAAAAAUGUAGUAGCUGUAACCAUAGUUAUCAGAUCCGAACCGGACAUCGACCCGGACAAUGUAGUGGGUCAACGGGUCAGUGGUUCAACCGGUGACUCGGUGGUUCAAUCAGCGGGUCAAUUCCUACAAAAAAAAUUAUUAUUAUGUAUUUUCAUUGAAUAAUUUUUUUCCCAUUUUCCACGAAUAACAAAAUUAACCUCAUAUUAUUUUGUUAACUAAAUAUCAAUUUGUAUCCCAAUUUCACAAAUUAUGGACCAUAUAUAGUCAAAUAUGGACUUGAAACAAUAAAAACGACAAUCAAUAAUUAAAAAAAUAAAACUAUUUCAUAUGACAAGGUUCAACAAGGUUGCUUCAUAUAUUUGAAGAGUAUUCUUGCAAAAAUAAAACAAUGAACUUAAAGUUAAACGUGGCUAAAGAACAUGAUAACAAAGUAAAUUAUCCGAGGUAAGUUAAUAAUUUCUCAAUUAAGAAGAGUUAGAGUGCAUCCGCGCUGGAGUUUUGGACCUAAAUUCUUCAAUUCUUUCGCCUUGUACCAAUGACGUGGUCUCAAUCAUACUAAAAUCCUCGUUUCCAUUGUUUGUAUCAUUUCCAUUGUCAUCAUUUAGCAACUUUAUUUGGACAGAAAUUUGGAGUUUUGCAUGUUUCUAGCUACUUUAUUAAUAUGAAUUAAGAAAAAAAUUCAAAGAUCUAAGGUUUCUCCUGUAAGCUUUAUAGUUUAUGCAUAUCUGCAAAGAAGCUGAAAUAUUUAAAGGAUAGGCACUAACAUAAACAAGGAGAUAUCUCAAAAAAGAAUGGAGGUGGUCAAUAAACUAAAUAGGCUAAAAAGAAGAAGAAAUUCUUUGAUAGUGUCCAAGGAACCGGCUCUAAGCAUCUUGACAACAAAGAUCAGCAAUAUUUUAGUCUCUUAUAGGUGCUGGUAAUAACUAUUUUCGUCCCUAACGGGUGCUCUUGAGACUACCAAUAUUUUAGCAAAAUCAGCAGCAAAGCAAAAAAUGGUUCUACAAAAUCACCAAUCAAAUAAUAAACUCCUCAAACUGAAUAGAUUUAAAGCCUUUCACCAAUCAAAAUUGAUAGAAACUAAAAGAUUGAUCUUAAACCUGUCUUCAACAAAUUUCGUGGUUCAAGAAAUACAUGGAAUGGACAGUGAAUGUAAAUUAAUAAGAUGAUAAAAUCUGUCCAAUUCAAGUAAACACCAACUAAAGGGAAUAUAAAAUAUAGCAGAUUGUUAUGAAAAUUUAAUUCCAAUCCUAAAAGGGAAGAAUCCGAAGACGCAGUCCCCUGCAAUUCUGAAAACCAACUAUAUCUUGUUCUAAAUACAUGAUUCACCACAGGAAUAUUUUUCCCCGUCUAUUAUGCUUUGUAAGAAUCUGAAAUUGCACAAAAACAACUAUAUAUUGUUCUAAAAAUUUUGAAAUCCACCACAAGAAUAUUUUCAACUAAUCAAUCAAAAUCUAUUUCUACUGGUUUCAACUAACCCGUUCUUCUUCCAUCUCUUAAGGCUUUAAAUUGGAGAUUUGGAUUUUUUGGGAGUGAUUGAAUAGCAAACGGCAGCAACCGAGUCGGAGUUUGGAAGGACGAAGAAGACUUACCUGGGUAAUUUGAAUUGGGAAAUUGGAAAACACAAGUUUUAAAGCAAAAGAAAAAACCCGGUUGGUUCAAUUGCACAUGGGUCGACGGUUGGGCUAAAAACCCGCCGGCUUGACGGGUUUCCAACGGGUGGUUUGUCCACCUUUAAAUCUGUCUGACUCGGACAGGACCUAGGUCCGGUUCGACGGUUCUCGGAUUGAACCGGCCGGUCUGAUCCGAUCCGGGUUUUAUAAUUAUGGCUGU